AGAGUUUGAUCAUGGCUCAGAUUGAACGCUGGCGGCAGGCCUAACACAUGCAAGUCGAGCGGAUGAGGGGUGCUUGCACCCCGACUCAGCGGCGGACGGGUGAGUAAUGCCUAGGAAUCUGCCCGAUAGUGGGGGACAACGUUUCGAAAGGAACGCUAAUACCGCAUACGUCCUACGGGAGAAAGUGGGGGCUCUUCGGACCUCACGCUAUCGGAUGAGCCUAGGUCGGAUUAGCUAGUUGGUGGGGUAAAGGCCCACCAAGGCGACGAUCCGUAACUGGUCUGAGAGGAUGAUCAGUCACACUGGAACUGAGACACGGUCCAGACUCCUACGGGAGGCAGCAGUGGGGAAUAUUGGACAAUGGGCGAAAGCCUGAUCCAGCCAUGCCGCGUGUGUGAAGAAGGUCUUCGGAUUGUAAAGCACUUUAAGUCGGGAGGAAGGGCUGUAGGUUAAUACCCUGCGGUUUUGACGUUACCGACAGAAUAAGCACCGGCUAACUUCGCGCCAGCAGCCGCGGUAAUACGAAGGGUGCAAGCGUUAAUCGGAAUUACUGGGCGUAAAGCGCGCGUAGGUGGUUUGGUAAGUUGGAUGUGAAAGCCCCGGGCUCAACCUGGGAACUGCAUCCAAAACUGCCUGACUAGAGUACGGUAGAGGGUGGUGGAAUUUCCUGUGUAGCGGUGAAAUGCGUAGAUAUAGGAAGGAACACCAGAGGCGAAGGCGACCACCUGGACUGAUACUGACACUGAGGUGCGAAAGCGUGGGGAGCAAACAGGAUUAGAUACCCUGGUAGUCCACGCCGUAAACGAUGUCGACUAGCCGUUGGGCUCCUUGAGAGCUUAGUGGCGCAGCUAACGCAUUAAGUCGACCGCCUGGGGAGUACGGCCGCAAGGUUAAAACUCAAAGGAAUUGACGG
rnacentral:rRNA from 1 species